UGGGGAUUUGGCCAUGGGCGCAGCCUGUCCAGCCUGCCGCGUGAGUGAAGAAGGCCUUCGGGUUGUAAAGCUCUUUUGUCGGGGAAGAAACGGAGAGGGCUAAUAUCCGUUGGUAAUGACGGUACCUGAAGAAUAAGCACCGGCUAACUACGUGCCAGCAGCCGCGGUAAUA
rnacentral:rRNA from 1 species